rnacentral:rRNA from 1 species
CCCUUAGAUGUUCUGGGCCGCACGCGUGUUACAAUCGGGAGUACAACAAGAUUGCAAAUCCUAGUGGAUGAGUGGUUCUUCGAAAUUUUCUGAAGACUGGGAUAGUUGAUUGAAAUUAUUCAACUCAAACGAGGAAUUCCUUGUAAUUGUAAUUCAUUAUAUUGUAAUGAAUACGUCCCUGCCCUUUGUACACACCGCCCGUCGCUCCUACCGAUUGAAUGGUCCGGUGAAAUCUUCGGACCGUGACUUUGAUUUGUUUACUCAAAACGCUGUUACGGGAAGUUGAUUAAACCUUACCAUUUAGAGGAAGGUGAAGUCGUAACA